CAUUACCGAGUUUACAACUCCCAAACCCCUGUGAACAUACCAAUUGUUGCCUCGGCGGAUCAGCCCGCUCCCGGUAAAACGGGACGGCCCGCCAGAGGACCCCUAAACUCUGUUUCUAUAUGUAACUUCUGAGUAAAACCAUAAAUAAAUCAAAACUUUCAACAACGGAUCUCUUGGUUCUGGCAUCGAUGAAGAACGCAGCAAAAUGCGAUAAGUAAUGUGAAUUGCAGAAUUCAGUGAAUCAUCGAAUCUUUGAACGCACAUUGCGCCCGCCAGUAUUCUGGCGGGCAUGCCUGUUCGAGCGUCAUUUCAACCCUCAAGCCCAGCUUGGUGUUGGGACUCGCGAGUCAAAUCGCGUUCCCCAAAUUGAUUGGCGGUCACGUCGAGCUUCCAUAGCGUAGUAGUAAAACCCUCGUUACUGGUAAUCGUCGCGGCCACGCCGUUAAACCCCAACUUCUGAAUGUUGACCUCGGAUCAGAG
rnacentral:rRNA from 1 species